rnacentral:rRNA from 1 species
GGGGUGGCCAGCGCCCGCCAGAGGACCAUCAAACUCCAGUCAGUAAACGAUGCAGUCUGAAAAACAUUUAAUAAACUAAAACUUUCAACAACGGAUCUCUUGGUUCUGGCAUCGAUGAAGAACGCAGCGAAAUGCGAUAAGUAAUGUGAAUUGCAGAAUUCAGUGAAUCAUCGAAUCUUUGAACGCACAUUGCGCCCUUUGGUAUUCCGAAGGGCAUGCCUGUUCGAGCGUCAUUACAACCCUCAAGCUCUGCUUGGUAUUGGGCACCGUCCUUUGCGGGCGCGCCUCAAAGACCUCGGCGGUGGCGUCUUGCCUCAAGCGUAGUAGAACAUACAUCUCGCUUCGGAGCGCAGGGCGUCGCCCGCCGGACGAACCUUCUGAACUUUUCUCAAGGUUGACCU